rnacentral:rRNA from 1 species
UACGAAGGGAGCUAGCGUUGUUCGGAAUCACUGGGCGUAAAGCGCACGUAGGCGGAUGUGUCAGUCAGGGGUGAAAUCCCGGAGCUCAACUUCGGAACUGCCUUUGAUACUGCACGUCUUGAGUCCGAUAGAGGUGGGUGGAAUUCCUAGUGUAGAGGUGAAAUUCGUAGAUAUUAGGAAGAACACCGGUGGCGAAGGCGGCCCACUGGAUCGGUACUGACGCUGAGGUGCGAAAGCGUGGGGAGCAAACAGG